rnacentral:rRNA from 1 species
GCCCGAAUUUCUUUGUGAACCUUAUCACUUAAAGGAAGGAGAAGUCGUAACAAGGUUUCCGUAGGUGAACCUGCGGAAGGAUCAUUCACAUGAAAUAAUUAUUUACAUGAGUGAGGGAAGUCAAUGACGAAGUCAGUGACGCAGAGCGAAGCGAAGUUAUGAAAUCACUGAUGUCAGAGACGUAGUCAAUGACUGAUGUGAUGAAUGAAGUAACGACCGAGGUCGUGAUUGUCUUCAUAACUGAGGUAAUAACAUACUUCAAACUAACUUCAUAACCUACUUCAACCUAACGUCAUAACUAUCUCCCUUCAUCCUGUAAUUUCGUAACGUUGUUUAUUCAUAGAGUAAACGCUUCCUUCGGGAAAAACGUUACAUUACCACCCCUCCAUGUGAUUUUAAAUCACUUGGGUUAUGUUGCAGUGAGAUUCAUUGCAAAUGUAAUUAAUAGAGUAAUUGCUAAUUCUCUAUUAGUUGCUGGAUAUUAAUUAUCCUUCUUUCUUCCAUACAACUACAUGAGAUGUUUCAUCUCAACACAUUUAUUUAUCAAACUUUCAGCGAUGGAUGUCUUGGCUCACACAUCGAUGAAGGACGCAGCGAAUUGCGAUAAGCAUUGUGACUUGCAGACUUCUGCGAAUCAACAGAUUUCUGAACGUAUUAGACACACCACCUCUGCUUGCAUGUGGUACUCCCAUUUCAGUGAAGUAUAAAAUCCUAAAAGUACAACUUUUGUUGUUCUUUUGUGAGUAGAGGUGAUUUACAAUCCCUCUAUAUCUACAUUCUAGAGAUUCACUACCUCGCAUCUCGAAACUCUAUUGUAUUUUAUAUACUCUACGUUUUGAGUGAGGGACAUGAAUUUCAUUAUUGAAUGACGUGAGGAAGAUCCGAACGGAGUGAGGAAGUGUGGGAUGUACCGACGUGUGAGGAUUAUCACAGUAUUCCUCAAUACAUCGAUGUAUCGAUCUUCCUUCAUUCUUCCUGAAAUUGGGUGAGACUACCCGCUGAAUUUAAGCAUAUAAUUAAGCGGUGGAAAAGAAAAUAACUAUGAUUCUCUUAGUAACGGCGAGCGAAGGGAUCCCGGAAGGNUGCGU